GCUCGACUGUUACUUAUACAAACAGUAAUCCGUUACUUAGAAGUUACUACAAAAAUAAAACUAUAUACCGGCAACAAAUACUCAAAGUAUUAAACAAUUGUUUUUGCUGCAUUCGCCAGACCCUGGAAGUUAACAUAACCGUGUAAACGAUGAUUUGGUUUUAACUGUGUUUAAUGUUUAACUCGGUGGGCUGUAGACUUUGUAUAUGUUAGCAACGUAAUUAGCUAGCUAACAGAUGUUAGCUAUAUGACUAGCUAACGUUACACAGUUUGGGUCUGUCAUAUAUUGGCAUACAUUUGGGUCAUAGACUGUUAUAUCUAAAACAAUGUUUCAAAAAACCCAGGUCGUUAAAAAACGCUGCUCUUCUGUCCACACUAUCAUAAUCCCCACUCUUCCAACCACGAGGUCCAACAAUGAUCUUGUCCCUGGGUUUUUUGAUUACGUCAACAAACCGGACAGGUAGCUAACUGAUUUCACCGAAGCGUGAUACAGACCAAAAUGAAAAGACUGCAUCAAUCAAAGAUCAGCUUUGGAAAGGGGACAGAUACGGGACAAGAUGAGGAGACAGGGAAAAAGAAAGAGAGAAGGUGAUGGGGAUGGAAAUGAGAAAGGAAGAACAAGUUCACAAAAAAGCGAAAUCAAGAGAGCAUGCCCUCAAACGCCUCUAGCAGCUCAGUUUUUGGAACUCAGUAUUAAUGUUGUCAGCCUCUGAGCAUCAAGAGAACCCCUCAACUGCCCCAUAGACUUCAAUGUUAACUGACUUCUUCUCGUGAGCAAAAACACAAAUGUAGACACUUUCUAAACUCAGUCAUUCUUCACGUCAGUUACAAAGAUGACACAUGCACAUCCUCAGCAAAGUAUCGUGAUGCUCACGGUGAAAAAAUGUCCGCAAUUCGAAUUAUGGUUUUUAAGGUAAGGCAUCUUGUUUGAGUGGUGCUUUAGUGGUGCUCUCUGUCUGUUAUCACUAAGUCUGCCAAGCAAUGACUCAGCAUUCUCAGGCUCCACAAACAUUAGCACAGAGAGGGGUAUACCGGUUGGUUAGAACAUGGUAAGAAUGGAGCUCAUUUUUUGGUGCAAUGUUCCCACCUGCGUGUUGUCAUUUUUCUUCUAAUUCACGUUUUCUGUAAAGAUGGCGAACAGCCUGCCUCUCUUGUCCUCUGUGAUUGGUGGAUUACCUUUAGGCAGUUGGUACCUUUUUAUUUUUCCAUGUAACUAUUAAUGUCACUGUUAUUGUGUGUUAAAGGCAGAUUAAUGUGUACUGCCAGGGCUUUUUGUUUGACAUGUGUUUAGAGUUUCAGUUUGGGUAUAGGUGACAGCUUAUAGAGGAGCAGACUAAUAGCUUGAGAUAGAAAUUGUGUCACGUUAUUGUACUUAUAAUUCUCCAAAAAUAAAAACAGGCCUACAGUCUCUUUUGAUGAUCCUGUGUGGCUGGUCAGUAAUACUGAUUAAAUCCUGUUUUGACACAGUUUGUCAGGUUUGGGAUGCUCUACAUGUUUAUACUGCAGUCAUCUCCAAUAUAAGAUUUUGCGUUCACUCUAAUCCAGCAUGACAACGCUAUUUCUUUUAUGCUGAUGGUGUGCUUUGAAGUUUUUUCCUGUGCUGUCAGUUGAUGUUUUUGGACACACACAGUUCAUGUUUCUCUACAUAUGGAGCUAACUUUGCGAAUUACCUUGUGUAGCAUUAUUAUUGCUACUAGCUGCUGUUUCUGGAAUAUGUAUCACGUUGGCAGCCUGAGUUGUCUAUCAAAGGUGGUUUGUGGUUAAAUAAAGGUAUGCAAUACAAGGAUGUGUGUUGCAUACAAAUUCACCUCAAAACAGUAAUUUCACAGGUAUUCAGCAAGUUGUUUUAUUUCUAAACAGCUAAAACGAUAUGUUAUUAUGACACAAUGGGAAUG